rnacentral:rRNA from 1 species
GACGAACGCUGGCGGCGUGCUUAACACAUGCAAGUCGAACGAAUAGCGAUGGAAGCUUGCUUCUAUCAAUCUUAGUGGCGAACGUGUGAGUAACGCGUAAUCAACCUGCCCUUCAGUGGGGUACAACAGUUGGAAACGACUUCUAAUACCGCAUACUAUCUAAUCUCGUCAUUGAGGAUUGAUGAAAGGUUGCCUCUACAUGUAUGCUUUCACUGUAGGAGGGUUUUGCGUCUGAUUAGCUAGUUGGCGGGGUAACUGCCCAACAAGGGGAUGAUCAGUAGACGGUCUGAGAGGAUGAACGGCAAAAUUGGGACUGAGAAACGGCCCAGACUACUACGGGAGGCAGCAGUGGGGAAUCUUCCGAAAUGGAAGAAAGUCUGAAGGAGCAACGCCGCGGGAGGGAUGAAGGCCGUCGGGUUGUAAAGCUCUGUUAAUCGGGACGAAAGGCCUUCUUGCGAAUAGUGAGAAGGAUUGACGGUACCGGAAUAGAAAGCCACGGCUAACUACGUG